rnacentral:rRNA from 1 species
AUGCAAACUCUCUCUAAACUGAAUAGUUUUUAUAAGCAAAGAAGUAAGAAGGGACGGGCUACUGAUGGUGAUCGUAAUACGAAUUUUUUUCAUCAAGUUGUGCUUAAGAGAAGGAAAAGGAAUACUAUCUGCUCGGUUAAGGAUGAAAAUAAUAUUGUGCAUUUUAAGCCUAGUCUCAUUGCUAAUACCUUUGUUAAUUAUUUCAGCAACUGUGGUAGACCUUUUCUUGCUUCUCAAUUACCGGAGGGCUCUUUGGACCCUACUUAUUUAAUUCCGGAUAAAAAUGAGGUCUUGCAGAUUUUGAAGGACAUGAAGUUGAAUGCUUCUCUAGGGCCAGAUGGUUUUAAUGUUGAGUUUUAUUUGGCUACUUGGAAUUGGAUAGGAGACGAUGUCACUCAAUUGGUAGUCAAUUUUUAUAGAACAGGUAUAUUGCCCUCUCACGUGAGUGAUACAAACAUUGCUCUCAUUCCAAAAAAACUUGUUCCUCAGGUUCCUAUGGAUUAUCGUCCC